rnacentral:lncRNA from 1 species
GCUUCUCCCAAAAUGCCCUACAUCAACAAUGCAUAUGUCAUGUAGGAAAAAAUACUAUUAAGAAUCUAUUGAACUACAACAUACCUUGUCUGCGAGAAUAAACCAUAGUCAUAGUCAAUCAUUCCAACUAUUAGGAGUUAAAAAUAGCUUCGAUAGUUUUUACUCCUCACAUUUAAUGUACCCCAAUAAUUGCUGUCUCUUCCGGACAAUGCCUCAUUUGAAACAACCAAGGGACUUGACUCAUUAGUGUUAAGAAAAAUGUGAAAAAUUUAAUUCAUCCUCCCUUACUUCCCCAUCUCCAAAAAGUAUAUAUUAUAAAUAGGAUCCAAGAACAAUUGAUUUGUCUAGACAGAGUGAAACAGAACAUUAAAUUUUGCCGUCUGUAGUUGAUGAAUUGUCAAAUGGAUAUUAUUUAAGGAAAGAGGCGUCAUUUUUACACUCCACGAGGAGGCUCCACGGGUCUAGACAUCCUUAAUACAUUUAUUAUAACAUUGAGAAGGCUCAUCCCCACCUCCCAGUAGGAAAUGGUAAUAAAAUGGAGUUAAAAUUAUGAUAAUUUUUCGCACCUGAUUCAUAUACAUAUAUAUUUGUACCAUUUUUGCUAUUGUUUUGCAAUGUAUUUUCCAUAUAUCUACACCAUAACUAAUAAUAAUCUAUCCAUGUUCUUUUAAAGGCACAAACAAGGCUCAUAUAAAAGAAGCAAAAUGGAUGUACACUACUCUCAUCCCUCGAAUACUUCUGAUAUUUAUGAGUUUCUCAUUAGGGUCUCUUGGGGAAUAUACUCAGGAUUUCUGGUUACUCUUAUUUAUGAGUGUUUUUAAUGUGUUUUUGGGACUACUGGUUCUUUGGUGCCAGGUUUUGAGUCGGGAUAAGGUGAACAUCAUUUUCCGAGGUGGAUGGAAGCGUUUAUUGGAAAUAAUUUUGAGGAAACCAAAGGAUUAAAAUUUGAAUUUUAUGACUUUUUAUUUGACUGAAUGAAUGUAGCGUGAUUAAAAUGUUAUGAUUCUAUAAUAAUUAUUAUAAGUAAUAAAAUAAGAAUAUAUAAA